rnacentral:rRNA from 1 species
GAUGAACGCUGGCGGCGUGCCUAAUACAUGCAAGUCGAGCGAACGGACGAGAAGCUUGCUUCUCUGAUGUUAGCGGCGGACGGGUGAGUAACACGUGGAUAACCUACCUAUAAGACUGGGAUAACUUCGGGAAACCGGAGCUAAUACCGGAUAAUAUUUUGAACCGCAUGGUUCAAAAGUGAAAGACGGUCUUGCUGUCACUUAUAGAUGGAUCCGCGCUGCAUUAGCUAGUUGGUAAGGUAACGGCUUACCAAGGCAACGAUGCAUAGCCGACCUGAGAGGGUGAUCGGCCACACUGGAACUGAGACACGGUCCAGACUCCUACGGGAGGCAGCAGUAGGGAAUCUUCCGCAAUGGGCGAAAGCCUGACGGAGCAACGCCGCGUGAGUGAUGAAGGUCUUCGGAUCGUAAAACUCUGUUAUUAGGGAAGAACAUAUGUGUAAGUAACUGUGCACAUCUUGACGGUACCGAAUCAGAAAGCCACGGCUAACUACG